rnacentral:rRNA from 1 species
AUUGAACGCUGGCGGCGUGCUUAACACAUGCAAGUCGAUCGGUAACAGGUGUAGCAAUACAUGCUGACGAGAGGCGGACGGGUGAGGAACGCUUGGGAAUCUGCCUAUCAGCGGGGGACAACCCGGGGAAACCCGGGCUAAUACCGCAUACGCUCUACGGAGGAAAGCCGGGGACCGCAAGGCCUGGCACUGAUAGAUGAGCCCAAGUCGGAUUAGCUAGUUGGCGGGGUAACGGCCCACCAAGGCGACGAUCCGUAGCUGGUCUGAGAGGCCCGUCAGCCACGCCGGAACUGAGACACGGUCCGGACUCCUACGGGAGGCAGCAGUGGGGAAUAUUGAACAAUGGGCGAAAGCCUGAUCCAGCGACUCCGCGUGGGUGAAGAAGGCCUGCGGGUUGUAAAGCCCUUUCGGUAGGGACGAAAGCUCUCGACCUAACACGUCGGGAGGUUGACUUAACCUACAAAAGAAGCACCGGCUAACUCUGUGCCAGCAGCCGCCGUAAAAC